UUAAUAUUUGAUUUAACAGU
rnacentral:snRNA from 1 species